rnacentral:lncRNA from 1 species
GAAGUAAUUUCUCCCUUUUCUUUCUUUCUUUAUUUUGUAAUGUUUGUUUAACAAUUCAAACAAUCUAAUCCUCUUAAAGAAUGGAAACUGUAUUCGUAGAAUCUACAUAUAGAUAAAAAGAAACCUUGCAUCAAAUGCAUAUGAAAUUUUUAUAAGAAGGAUCUUAUCCAUUGAAAUGAAUGGGAACAACACAACUUAAUUUUAAGUUCAUUAUAACAUUUCAAACCAUUCUAAAGAAGUUGAUGCUUCUCCUCGGCACUAUAAAAAUACUAAUAUCUCCACCCUUCCCCACCUUGCCCUGAUUGUGAAGCAGAUGGUUUUCUUAUGCUGCGGAACUUAUGAGAAUAGUGGAGUCUUUUUAGUGGUUUAUACCAUUCCCAUUGCUGGGAGAAGUAAACAUUGAAAUAGAUCUCUUAUAAAGACUUAGCAUUUGAAUUCGUUAUCAUUACUCAAAAAUUUAGUAAUAAUAGUUACAAGAUCGAGAAGAUGCCCAUUGUACAAAAAUGUCUCUAAUAAUCUAUGUUAGACUCCUAAAGUGAGAUCUAUUGUCCCUUGAAGCAAGAAAUUGUAUGUUGGAAAACAUCUUCACUGCAAGGAAUUGUGAGGCCACCCAUCGGAUGAUCAUGUCCAAACUCUUCCUCAGCUUGACUCAAUAAGUCUUGGAAUGAAGGUUGGUUCAAGUAUGAAAUGGAAAUCACAAACCGUUUUUGUUUCUCUCCAACAUACACAGCAAAAUAGCCCUUCGGUAUGUCUUCAGAUUUUGAAGAUGCUUGUCUUGCUGUCACUGAUGCCCGUCGGAUGGAAGGUAAACGGAAACCCAUUUUUUGAGUUUGUUUGAAGAAAGAAGAACAAUCUCAAAUUUACAGAGAAUGAACCUAAAUUUUGAUGCUUGAGGAUUACAAAGGCUUGUGUUGUUUUUGAAGGUAUAGGAUAGUGUAUAUAUAGCUGUUAAAAGAAGGAGGGCAUAGAGAUGAGAUAUCACGUGGUGAUGUUUUCAGUAUUUCUAUAAAGCAUAAAGAAGGGUACAGGAGUGUAACCCCACCUUGUUCAACAACAGGCAACAUUAAGCCUCCACAUGUACCCAAUGAAACGUGGCUAAGUGAAGGCCUAAAUUUCUUCAUGCAUUAAUUGGUAUUACAUAUUUUGCAAAACAUGCUUUGGACAUGUUUUCUUCACUUCACCUAAUGUUGAAGAACAGCUGGAUAGAUGAAAUUAUAAGGAAAUGGACAGCGAGAGAUGAUAGACCAUUAUAUUCAUGAGAUUUGAAAUCAUAAGUCUAAUCUAUUUCAGGUGAAUUGGCUUGAGAUAGUGUACUAUCGACUGUAACAUCUCCCAUUACUCCCUAAGAAACACAUUCAAGGCAACACCAUGUGCCCUUUCUGUUCUAUCGGUCCCAUGACUCUUAUCACAUAGCCCUUCACUCUCAAUCAUUCAAGUAGCCGACGAUAUCCUACAAAAACUUUCAUCUAUAUAUAUAUUCUAGGCUGCAAGCGUUUGGGACAACAAAAAUCAUUUCCUAAACCAUUUUAACUUCACAAACUAUCAUCUUAUUUGCAACUCUCUUUUCUCAACUUUCUCUUCCCAAGUAUCAACAUAUAAAACAUGGGUUUUCAUUUACGUGGUAUCAGAAAGGCAUCCCUUCCUGCAAUCCAAGCCUUUUCAAAAGUUGUGAACGUGCCAAAGGGUUACAUUGCAGUUUAUGUUGGAGAUAAAAUGAAGCGGUUCAUCAUUCCUGUAUCAUACUUGAACCAACCUUCAUUUCAAGAUUUGUUGAGUCAAGCUGAGGAAGAAUUUGGGUAUGAACAUCCAAUGGGUGGUCUCACUAUUCCUUGUGGAGAAGAUGUGUUCUUAGAUAUAACUUCUCGUUUCAAUAGGUGCUAAUUGCGUGAAGAUGAGACUGACUUAGAUGUAGACUAUACUUGACACAGUUUUGUAUCGUAGUUUUAGCCUUGAAAAUAUCCCCUCUUGCCAUUUUUGUUAUUUGUUUAGACAAGUGUAAAAGAAUGUUAAUCUGAAUGAGAAGUUUUCUACAUGAUGUUUCUUAGCACAUUUUCUAUAAAUCUGAUUUAUAUAUCACAUUUUCUCUUUAUCUAUCGAUAAGAUUUAAAUUAAACUAUUAACUCCACAUUUUAUAACAAAAUUAAUUAAAAAAACUACUUAGAAGAGAUAAGAAGAUAAGUUUAAAACAAAACGAGUGAUGUAACAGCAGAGAAAUAAAGCUAAGCAUAUGGCUGACUAAUUCAAUAGUAGUUGGGGUGAGGAGGUUGAGAGAGAUUUGUGUGUAACGUGUGGGGAGCUAACCGAAACAGUGAGCCACUUAUUAUUUAGUUGUAAGUAUGCAAUUCAAGUAUGGAAUUUGUGUAAUAAGUGGGUUGGGAUAACCUCUGUUUCGCAAAAUAUAUUAUAAAUUUGUCCGUCAUAAAUUGAUGCUUUUCGUUGACCAUAGCAAAACAUUUUUCUUUAGCUGUAGGGUGGCUGGUAGGAUCUGGCAAGGGUAGGAAGAUUCUCAGUUUAUCAUAAUAGGGCUUAUGUACACUUUAACCAAUAUGAAAUUAUUGGUAUGAACAACACUGUUAAUAAGAUUUGGAGGAACAUGUGGAUGGCUAUUGUUUGGAGGAUAUGGACUCGUAGAAAUAACAUAAUCUUUAGAGGUGGAAUUUUAGAUUCAGAAGAGGUUUUGCAUUGGCACAGAUCAUGACAUGGGCAUGACAACAGUUGUUUUUCAUAUUCUGAUUGGUGCCUAAAUCCAAUUGGAUGCCUGCAGUCUGUCAAAAAGGGCUAGUCUGUUAAAAAGGGUUGAAAUUAAGUGUUUAGAUAUUGGUACAGGGAUACCUGCAAAUUCUCAGUAAUUGUUACAUCAAUAUACAAGGAGUAAGUCUGCAUGUUAUGACCUUCUAUUUGCUUUGUUUAUGUGUUUCUUUUUAGUGCUCAGGUAUGCAUCUGUAUUGAACACACAGUGCAAAUUAACAUUGGAGUCCACGGGAGAUGAAACAAUUGUUGUUGAAGUUUCUCUCUAACCACAUGACAACCAAUGUCAAUGUGUUUAGUAUGUUUAUGGAAGCUGCUAAUUGUGCUAUAUUUCUUGCAGAUUGACUGUCAUAGAACAGGCUAGCUGCGUUGCAAGGUGCAAUGUGCAGAUCUUCAAGCAAGUAGACGAGCCACUCUAUCUUACUGUAGGUGGAGGCUAAAGCCCGAUACUCCGUUGUAUCUGGAAGUUAUUAAUGACCCAAAGUCGAAAAAGGUAAUGGAGGAAGAGGUGUAUAUGAUUGAGAAGAACAAAACUUGGAAGCUUGUUGACAUACCUCGAGAUUGAAAGGUACAUCAAAUGGAUGUCAAGUCAAUAUUUCUAAAUGGAUUUCUUGAACAAGAAAUUUCAGGUUUCAUUGGGGAAGGAAGAGAAGACAAAGUUUAUAAGUUGUCUAAAACCAUUUAUGGCUUAAAAGAUGUUCCCAGAGCAUGGUAUUAUCUUAUCAGGCUUAGGCUUUGAUAAAAGUCUUUUAAAAGGUGUUGAAUGGAGAUUAAGCAAAGUGAGGAUGAAAAAAAAAAUUGCAUAUUUGUUUACCAAGUCACUUCCAGCCAACAAGUUUGAGUUCUCAAUACAGAAGAUUGAAAUUUGCAGUUCAAAAAAUCAAAGAGGAGUGUUGAAUGUUGUGUUUUUUAACUGCAUAUAAAUGCACAUAAGUGCACGUGAUAUUUUAUUCUUCUGUUUUAAUUAUGUUUUAAUUGCUGAUUUAAUAUUUCUAGGUAUCUGGUCAUAAAAUCAUUUAAGAGUCAGUACUCCAGAUACUGUAAAUGUAAUUGUUAGCACAGAUAAUAAAAUAUCUUCCUCUAAUUUAUUCUUAAAAAAAACCAACAAUCUCAUCCUCUUACAAAAUGGAAACUGUGAUUUGUAGAAUCUAUAUAUGGACAAAAGAAACCUUACAUCAACUGCAUAUGAAAUUUUUAUAACAAAGGAUCUUAUCCAUUGAAAUCAAUGGGUACAACACGGCUUAAUUUUAAGCAUAUUAUAACUGUCUCGGCUGGGGAAAAAUCCGCUAGUGUAAAAAACUAAAAAACCUUUCAAACCCGUUAUGAGUAUAGUGGAGUCUUUUAGGUGUUGUAUACCAUUCCAAUUGCUGGGAGUAGUAAACAUUGAAAUACAUAAAUAGAAAGACUUAGCAUUUGAAUUCGUUAUCAUUACUCAAAAAAUUGGUAAUAAUAGUUACAAGUUCGAGAAGAUGCCUAUUGUACAAAAAUGUCUCUAAUAAUCUAUGUCAGUCUCCUAAAGUGAGAUCUAUUGUCCCUUGAAGCAAGAAAUUGUAUGUUGGAAGACAUCUUCACUACAAGGAAUUGUGAGGCCACCCAUGGGAUGAUCAUAUCCAAACUCUUCCUCCGCUUGACUCAGUAAGUCCUGGAAUGAAGGUUGGUUCAAGUAUGAGAUGGGAAUUACAAACCGAUUUUGUUUCUCUCCAACAUACACGGCAAAAUAGCCCUUUGGUAUGUCUUCAGAUUUUGAAGUUGCUUGUCUUGCUGUGAAUGAUGCCCGUCGGAUGGCAGGUAAACGGAAACCCAUUUUUUGAGUUUGUUUGAAGGAAGAAGAACAAUCUCAAAUUUACAGAGAAUGAACCUAAAUUUUGAUACUUGAGGAUUACAAAGGCUUGUGUUGUUUUUGAAGGUAUAUAGGAUAGUGUAUAUAUAGCUGUUAGAAGAAGGAGAGCAUACAGAUGAGAUAUCGCGUGGUGUUGUCUUCAGUACUUCUAUCAAGCAUAAAGAAGGGUACAAGUGUGUAACCCCACCUUGUUGAACAACGAACAACAUUAAGCCUCCACAUGCACCCAAUGAGAUGUGGCUAAAUGAAGGCCUAAGUCUCUUCAUGCAUUAAUUGGUAUUACAUAUUUUGUAAAACAUGUUUUGGACAUGUUUUC